GGGGGUGAACAGGGCUCGACUUAGGUAUGUCGGGUAAGAGCAGCAUGCCGCGGACGCGAGGUUAGCCGCGUUAACAAUCCUUGCAAAACUAAACGCAAACUACAGUAAUGUAGCACUGAGACCCAUGGCAGCAAUGCCAAUGGUUCCAGGCGUGUUAGCCUUCGGGCUUAAUUAAAGCCUGAAGCCACUUUUCGUCCUGUCUACGGGGCGAAAAAGUGCGGUUAGUAGACUGGCUCUGAUCGUUAGUCUUUGAAGUCAGGGUGAGACUCAAAAAGGCUGCGGCUUAGGCAAUCCUGUUUAGCGGAGUGCCUAAGAUUAAGCUUAAAAGAUAAACUAAGCAUGUAGCGGCUUUUAUUCCUCUGCUUAAGGACGGCGGUUCAAUUCCGCCCACCUCCACUU
rnacentral:tmRNA from 1 species